rnacentral:rRNA from 1 species
GAAAGCAUCUAAGUGCGAAGCCCCCCACGAGAAAAGACCUCCUUGAGAAUAUCUAAAGAUCCCUGGAAGACUAACAGGUAGAUAGGUCGGAGGUGUAAGUGCAGCGAUGCAUGUAGCUGACCGAUACUAAUAGAUCGAACGCUUGAUCAAG